rnacentral:lncRNA from 1 species
GGUCGUUCUUCUGGCUUAAGUAAUGAUAAAAUCCAUCUUUGGACUUCAUCCAUAUCUGCUUUCCUUAGCUCCCUUGAAUUGGAAUAAAUCAUUAACUGAUCUCUUGCAUAGUAGCUCCAUAUAGCGUUUCCGUUUAAAUAAUUAUUUGCUAGCUCUUGUAUGAUGGUUGAUAUACCAAUUAUUCUCUUAUUGACAUAAAAACUGGGUAUCUCGCUUUUUUGUAUCUUUGGUUGUUGUUCGAUAUCUUCCGGUAUUAUCA